UGAUCUCAGUGUCAGAUGAUUGUUUCCAGCACAAAGCUGCUGCUCCAUAGUUCACAGUAAUGGAAUAACUCUGCUGAUCGUCUUUGAAUCCUGGAUCAGGAAGUGACGCCGACUGACUGAAGAUGAUGAUGAUGGAGGAAGAAGAGGACAGAGCAGAGUCUGCAGGGUCCAGCUGUCCGUCUGUGAGGAGUGACCGGUCCAAAGAUCUAACUCCACACUUCAGUGCUGAACCUGGACCAACGAGAGGUCAGAGGUCACAGUCUGCAGGGUCCAGCUGUCCGUCUGUGAGGAGUGACUG